rnacentral:rRNA from 1 species
UAGGGAAUAUUGCACAAUGGAGGAAACUCUGAUGCAGCGACGCCGCGUGAGUGAUGAAGGACUUCGGUUCGUAAAGCUCUGUUGCAAGGGAAAACAAAAUGAUUGUACCUUGUGAGGAAGGGUCGGCUAACUUCGUGCCAGCAGCCGCGGUAAGACGAGGGACCCUAGCGUUGUUCGGAAUCAUUGGGCGUAAAGCGGGUGUAGGUGGCUUUAUAAGUCAGAUGUGAAAGCCCUGGGCUUAACCCAGGAAGUGCAUUUGAUACUGCAAAGCUUGAGUGCUGG